CCGGUAUUUACCAUCUGGCCCAAUCACAGUAACAAGCUGAGCACUUCUGAAUAAAAGACAUUUUUCCUCAAAAUUUAUACUGCCUCCAGUGCCAGUAUUCUCUAUGGACCCUGAGCACAUAAUUAUUUCAUGGGGUAUCCUGCACAUAGAUCCAAGCAGAUGCCGGGACAUCCUGCAGAAGUACCCACUGAGGGUUUAGGCUUUCCAAGGCACACAGGUCGUGCUUGACAUCUGGUUGCUGCAAAGACUAACACAAAAAUGUAUGAGAAAUUUAAUCGUGUUCCAAGAGCUGCAUCCCCGUUGAGCUGUGAACCCAGGCUUCCUUUGGCCUUUUUUGUGUGACAGUAUCUGUCGAACAACUUCUUCAAGAUGUCUCCUGGCAGCUUCUACCGGAUGCAUGCCAUUAUCUACUGUGCUGUCUCCUUGGGAAGGACCUCCACAUCCAACAGGUCAUGCAUUCUGUCAGCCAUAUCAGCUUGCCUAAGAAAGAUCCUGCCACUCCAUGUGAACUUGCUCUCCUGAAUGCUGUAAACCACCAGCACUCACAAAGGCACAAAUGUCAUGCACCUUUCUGAGAUGUUCCUGUCCAGCUCCAGGUUUCCCUCUCUCUUUCAGUCUUCAUGCUUCCUUCACACAACAAGGUUUUCACUUUCUUUCUGUUUCCCUUUAGUGCCACUCUUUUAGCCAAGUUAUUCUUCACCCUCCCAUCUUCUCCUAACUGACACAUCUGUUCACAUGCUCAAACUAUCACUUCUUUGAGGAAAUGCCAGUUCUCCCUCACUUCUUUUCUUUCUUCUCUACCAUGGAAUCUGUCAAGAGUAGUUUUCUCCAUUCAUUUAUCCUCAGAUACGCAGUCCUUGAUGAGAAGCUCGGCGUAGGUCCCAGGGGCAUACUUUGUUAUUAUUAUUUUCAUAAAGAACAACAACAACAACAAAAAUAUCCAGACACAAGUUAAAAAUUGUAAAUCUUUCGCUUGUCUUUAUCGGAGAUUCCAUAUAGACUGGGGAAAUCUUCAGCCUGAGCCUUGGAGAUGAACAAAUAAAAAAAUCAAAUACAAAUUCAAUAAAUAAUAUAAUGAGCUCUUCAAACCUUCUGGAAAAGUUUAAUAAAUCCGAGAUACUUAGACACAUGUUUACCAUAUAACUAUUUGUAGGAACAUGGUACGUAUCAAAAAGUAAAAUGUACUUGCAUUCCUGUAGAGACAUAUUCUAAGGUGUGAGAAGAUUGUCCCAGUCAACAAAUGUCCUUCGCUUUCAAAGGCUGAACUAUUUUCUCAUAUAAAUAAAAGGACAAGCCAAUAAGUGAUGGUUAUUUCAGUGGAGAAAAGUAACAGCUAAUCCUGGAGUUGAUUUUUCAUCUCAGACUGCAUUUGACAGCUUUGAAUUCAUCCUAAUUGUGAAAAAACACAAGAUGGUUAAAACAUCCUGUGUAAACAAGAAUGAAGACAUUGAUUGAAAUAAGCUUUUGGAAAGAGGCUGUUGUUUGUAACACAAAGAAAUAGAAGAUUAUAUCCCAAAAGAAAAGUGUUCAAUGUUAUUAAAAUUAUAUUUCCAAUUUCUUUCCUUCCGUUGAUUUUUUUUUUAAUUGGAGGGCCAAAAUAUCCUCAGGACAGCGAGCUGCAGUCAGCAUUUUGCAAGAAGAAUCUUUCCAUUGGAAGACUUCCAACCAGGUCUCCAUUUCAGUUCUGCAGAACAUAUAAUUGAUUUUUCCAUAUAGUUAUAGUCUAUUAGAUGCAUUUAAAUCUUUACAUUGCUGCCUGUUUGAUGUGGGCGACGUAUUUUAUCCACUGUAAAUGGUAAUUUCUUCUUUCCAGUUUUCUAGGUGGAAUUCUGCAGUUACUAUUCACAAGCUAAGGUCCAGACUUUGGUGUUGGAAUUCUUGCUCUUUCACUGUGGCAUAACCUACCUAUGCUUGCAGCCACACAACUGUUGGGGUGACAGCAUGCACACAAACAGCUAUUCUGUAUGAGAACACCAGGCAUAGCAACACUCUUGCUCAUCUAUACGAACAAGUGAACUGACACCACAUUCAGUUUUUCACUAAAGCAAUUGUAUCUAGAAAUUAUGUGUCUGCUCUACUGUGAACCUCCCUUCAUACACACAAUGAAAAAUCCCAAAUCUUUCUGAGGUUCUAAAAAGGAUUAAAAAAAAACCCUCUUUCUUCCAGUUCAUUGUUGGAUAUGUUAACCAGGAUCAGAGAUGUUCCCAUGAAGUUAAAAACGGGAACUGAAGACUGAAGAGCUACAGCUGUUUCAAGGCUGGUCACCUCUCAAAAAAACAAACCUUUGGAGGAUGUGCAUGUGGAGGUAGCUUCCGCUGCCCAAAGCAUCCCUGCUCCACCAGCAGCAUCCCAUGUGGUGUGGACUCAACUUUGGAGGGGCUUUCCCAAAAGUGUCAUCUACUUGGAGCCAAGUGGUAGCCCUGCAGCACAGACAAAACCCCUCCGCCAUGCCCUGCCCUGACUGCCCGCAGCCUCCUGAGCCCAUUCAGAGAAUCACAGAAUCACAGAAAGGGACUCUAUGAAGGGCCCUGAAACUGAUCAUUGAGCUCCAGCCCCCUGCGGUGGGCAGGGCUGUCACCCACCAGAUCAGGCUGCACAGGGCCACAUCCAGCCUGGCUUUGAGCACCUCCAGUGAUAGGGCAUUCCCUCCUUCCUUUCAGGACAUGACCGGGUCUGGUGACCAAAUCACUUCCCACACAGGGAAGCACUAGUGGAGCUAGAUCCAGCUCUCCUAAUUAUCACACAGAGCCUGUAGACUGUUAACAGCAGCCCACAUUAGCAUGGAGCCAAGUCCUUAGUGUGCUGUGAUAAUAACAGUGUUUAAUAGAAUUAGGGGAAGUAUAUAAUCAGAAUAAGACUGCUGUGUGUACACAAAGGCAAGAUUAAUACACAACCAGUGAGCCAGGGCUAAGUCGAUAAAGUGGAAUUCACUGGGAGCCAGGAUAGCAGACAGGUAAACAUUAAUCUCUGUGUGUGAUGUGGAGUUUAGAGAUCAGAUGUUACUUGAAACCCGUGCAGAUGCAUGGGGUAUAUGGAGGGCACCACAGCCUCUGUUACCUUACACUCCUCAUGUGGAGCAGGAAGAGCUGCAUUCUUUGUGAUUAACCCAGCUUGAACUUUGAAAUGUGACUCCCAAAUAUUUGCGAGAAUACUGCAACUAAGACAAAGGAGUGGGGCUUUAAAGACCCUGUGGUUCUACAGUGUGCAGCUAGCUUCCUGCGGGGCUUAGGGCAAGUCCCUGCACCUCCCGGGACCUCAAUUGCCCAUGAAUUUCCUCCAAAUAGAUUUCCUUUGCACAUCUUAUUUCCAUGGGGAAUUAGUAUGGAAGUUUCAGAAGGGAAACACAAGAAGGCUAAACGAGAAACUUCAACACCCAAACUAAAACUGUGGGGGAGUUUUUCUUAUUUCAAGGAAGAAGAGCACAGUUGGUCACAAAGCCAGCAAACAUUUCCAGCUUCGAAAGAGGUCUGUGCCUAAAUACCUGGGUACUUCUCUGUUACUGAUCACAUACCCACACAUACCAGUAUUUCACCACAUUUAAUUGGCUGAUCAGCCACCUGAAGGUGCCAGAAGGCAUCAUCUUUCCAGGGAUCGCUGAUGGAUAGUUGUAAAUUUCUUAGGUCAAGAAAGAAAGUUUUGUAUUCUGGGGGCUUUAAUACAGACAUAUUGCCCAGCUUUGGCUGGCCAUUAAAUUAAUCCCUUUCUUUCCAGAAGCAAUCACAAAGGAUCCCAAAUGAUAAGCUGAGGAGAGCCCCAGGGAUUCCAUCACCCCUGGAUGCAGUGUGCCCACAUUUAGAGCAGGAGUAGGGAAGGUCUCAGCUCCUGCAGCCCAGGACACCGUACUUCAAUGAGCCCCAGCCAGCACAACCUACUUAUUUUACCCUUGUGAAAGUGCUUUAACUUCAGAAUAAAAUAUUGUUUUACCCUCUGCCCUGCUGCUCUGUGUAACUCCAGUGUCAGCUUCCAAAACUAUAACAAACCUCCUAAACAAACACAUUUUAAGCUCUGCUUCCAAACCAGGCUGGGUAAGGAGCAAGCAAGCUGAAUUAGAUGCAGGAGCCGAUUCAUCACCCCUUCCUCUGCCUCCUGGUCCCCCUGCCAUUUUGGGCAUUCCCAGCUGUGUCACCUGCAUGACAAACAGGGCUGAAGGAGUUGUUUUCGCAAGGUGCCAGUGGCCAGUCAGCCUCUUUGCAAGGUGAGGGCGAGCUGCCAGCUGUCUCCUCAAGGAGCACAGCCCUGGAAGCCAGCAGAGCAGGAGGAGAGGGAGGGUAUGGAAACUUCCCAGGGGAGGAUUGUUGCAGAGACUGAACAGGCUCUGCUCUAUCCAAGCACAAGGAAAUGUAUUAAUGUCAGGCCCAAGUGCCCUGCUUUGUCUCAUGACAGCACCUUCGCAAACAUCUCAAACAUUUGUUUUCUUUUGUGCAGCCUCACAUGCCACCACCCAGCACCAACAAAUAGAAGCUCCAUACUUUUUAAGCACAGCCUUAUGAGGAAAUACUGUUACAAUGAGCCGCAGCUCUGUCCUGGCAUGGCGAUAAAAAUGCUGGCAGAGAUGGGAGGCAGAGCAUGUGCAGAGCAGCAGCUGCAAGAAGAGGGGCCUGCGGCAACUGCAAUGGCUCCCAGGAGCCAGUGGGGAGAAUGGGCCAUACAGAGAAAUCCAGGAGACCUCUUAGGAAGGACUUGCUAUGGGGUUAGUUAAAGCUGUUUUACGACUCUCUGGACUGGGAAAGAAACAAGCAAGUCCUGUUUUUCUGAGGUACAGUGAACUGUGUCACUGCUGUAGCACCAGAAGGAGCUGCCGCCCUGCAAGAAG
ensembl:lncRNA